CCCUCUCUCUCUCUCUCUCUCUCAUUCAAGAGUAAUAUACUCUCUCUCUCUCUCAUUCUCUCAAAACCUAUCAUACACCCUCUGCGAAACCCUAAUCGGGCAAUUCAUCUUCUGACCAACCCUAAUCGGCGAUGUCUGGUGCUAGUAUUGGUUUCAGCGUAUAAGGGAAGUUUCGUUGCCUCUCUCUCUCUCUCUCUCUCUCAAUACAGAACCUUACACCGUACUCCUCAUUCAAACCCUAAUAUUCCCCCAUUCUCUCUCUCUCUCUCUGGCGAACAUGGCGACGAGGAUGAACGUGCCCUCAGUUCUUAUUUUCGAUAAAGAUUCAUUCUUUUUGGUGGUUUUUUUCAUAAAGAUUUGUGGAUGUUCGUUAUUUUUUGUUAAUCUGUCAUAACAUUUCAUUCAAUUUGGUGGGUUUUCGGUAAAGAUUCAUUUAAUUUGGUUGAUUGAUUGAUUGAUUAUCUAGUUUUAAUUUCAGGAAUUUUUGUUCGAAGGAUCCUAUGUUUGUUUGAUUGAAUCGAUAAUCCCUAAAUCUCUGUCGGUAAUUUUAAUCUGAGGUAUAUCGGUUUAAUAAUCUUGAUUAUCUUGAUCCACAUUUGAACUGAAUGAAACGUGAAUAUUGUUUGUAAUUCUGGUUUAAUUUGGGGUUUAGAAAAUGCAAACUGAUCUGGGCAAGUUGUUUAUUUGGGAUAUCAUGGGGCACAAAUAAAGAGCGUCUAAAAGAGUAUUUCAGUAGCUAUGGCCAGGUUUUGGAGGUUGUGAUCAGGAAGGAUCACACCACUAGCUGGGCUCGCGUUAAACGCGGUUUUAAAAAAGAAAAUGGGCAUUACAAGUUAUUAGAUCCGGUUUAACUUUUGCUCUGGUUCUGAAUAUGUAGAUUUUAAGAUGUGGGAGGAUCUAAAAGGUUAUUGAAGGCUUUAAUCGGAAAUUUGUGUUUUGGCUGUGGUUGGUUUAAAUGGACGGUUGUUACACGGAGGCUGUGAUGAGUUAUCAAAAUAAAGCCAAUAUGUCGCCAUGGCAUGGCAGAUAUGGAGGAUGGCAGGUUAGCACCUACAACCCCUAUUGCAGCCUUGGUGGCUUCUGGCUUGGUCCUUUCGUUUUCUCUUAACCUGAUGAAUCUGUUGACUGUUGCCUUUGCUAUUUGAGUUAGCGAUGAUGAUCUUGGUCAGAUCAUUGCUUGACAUGGCAUCAUAGAGGAUGGCAGGUGCAUUUUUCUCUGCUUGCAACCUAUGGUGCAACCAUGAUAGCUUGAUGGCUUUGUCUGAGCCUUACCGUGCUGGUUUUGAGAUGAUUAAACAAUAUUGUAAUCGAUUUUUCAGCUAAAACAUCACGCUUUUUGGUUCAUGUUUGGCAUGUUUUUCAUGUCGUUGAUUAGUAUGGGAACAACUAUCCGAGGAAAAUAUUGCUGAUCGUAUCCAACAGACCCAAAUAUACUAAAUCUACAUUUUGUUAUCAUUAUUAUUAUCAUUAUAAUUAUUGAUAUCACUGAAUAAAGUAUGUUAUGUGUUUUAGUUAAUUGGACCCAGAGGUUGCAGUUUCAACCGCAAACGGUUCUAACGAAUGAAGCUUUUUUUUUUGUGUGAAAGAAUGACUUUUUAAUUCUUACAGUCCUACUAACACCAGCAACUUUCAUGCAAUGCUACUGUUGGUAUGGAUAUUAAUAUCACAGGGCAGAGGAAUUGUUUAAGCAAGAUAAGAUAGAUGAAGAAAACAAAAGGUGUCUUCUAAGCAGCAUGGAUAUUGAUGAAUUUUUUGAAAGAGCAGAGAAGGUUGAACAGAAUGGGGGGAUAUGUGAAGAA